CAGGCCUAACACAUGCAAGUCGAGCGGUAGAGAGAAGCUUGCUUCUCUUGAGAGCGGCGGACGGGUGAGUAAUACCUAGGAAUCUGCCUGAUAGUGGGGGAUAACGUUCGGAAACGGACGCUAAUACCGCAUACGUCCUACGGGAGAAAGCAGGGGACCUUCGGGCCUUGCGCUAUCAGAUGAGCCUAGGUCGGAUUAGCUAGUUGGUGAGGUAAUGGCUCACCAAGGCUACGAUCCGUAACUGGUCUGAGAGGAUGAUCAGUCACACUGGAACUGAGACACGGUCCAGUCUCCUACGGGAGGCAGCAGUGGGGAAUAUUGGACAAUGGGCGAAAGCCUGAUCCAGCCAUGCCGCGUGUGUGAAGAAGGUCUUCGGAUUGUAAAGCACUUUAAGUUGGGAGGAAGGGCAGUUACCUAAUACGUGAUUGUCUUGACGUUACCGACAGAAUAAGCACCGGCUAACUCUGUGCCAGCAGCCGCGGUAAUACAGAGGGUGCAAGCGUUAAUCGGAAUUACUGGGCGUAAAGCGCGCGUAGGUGGUUUGUUAAGUUGAAUGUGAAAUCCCCGGGCUCAACCUGGGAACUGCAUCCAAAACUGGCAAGCUAGAGUAUGGUAGAGGGUAGUGGAAUUUCCUGUGUAGCGGUGAAAUGCGUAGAUAUAGGAAGGAACACCAGUGGCGAAGGCGACUACCUGGACUGAUACUGACACUGAGGUGCGAAAGCGUGGGGAGCAAACAGGAUUAGAUACCCUGGUAGUCCACGCCGUAAACGAUGUCAACUAGCCGUUGGGAGUCUUGAACUCUUAGUGGCGCAGCUAACGCAUUAAGUUGACCGCCUGGGGAGUACGGCCGCAAGGUUAAAAC
rnacentral:rRNA from 1 species